UCUGGAAUUGGUUGUAUAUGAAAGAGGUAGAAUAUGAAGGAUCACGGAGGGAGUUUUUAUGUGCCAGACCUAGAUAUAAUGUGUAUCAUUCCUGCCUGCAUUUCAUCACCUGGAACCCAAUUUCAUGGCAGCAUGCAAUUGGAUAUUUCCAGUGAAAGAAAGAAGAAAGCAUCCUUUUCUCUUGACUGUGCAGAAAAAAAUUCUAUGUUUCUUUGAUUCUCCAUUUUACUAGAUGCCAUACCUUUGUAAUUACUUCAUGUGGAGUCUUGACCAAGAUUCAGGAAAUACUAGAGCUUUCAGUCCCGGAAGGUUACUCUGGGCAUUACUAGUCCCCAUCAUUAUGAGUUGAGUUUUACUAGUUAAUUUCAGAUGAAAAAUAUUUGUCUUUCCCCAAAUUCUGGGGUUAUGUAUUUUACUACCUAUGAACUGACAACUGUAUCUCCAGUAAUUACAAUUUCCAACAAAAUGUUAUAGGAAUAAAGAAAAGAUAUUAGUUCAUUA
rnacentral:lncRNA from 1 species